rnacentral:rRNA from 1 species
UGAUGAGCCAUGCCGCGUGUAUGAAGAAGGCCUUCGGGUUGUAAAGUACUUUCAGUUGUGAGGAAGGGGGUGUCGUUAAUAGCGGCAUCUCUUGACGUUAGCAACAGAAGAAGCACCGGCUAACUCCGUGCCAGCAGCCGCGGUAAUACGGAGGGUGCGAGCGUUAAUCGGAAUUACUGGGCGUAAAGCGCAUGCAGGUGGUUCAUUAAGUCAGAUGUGAAAGCCCGGGGCUCAACCUCGGAACUGCAUUUGAAACUGGUGAACUAGAGUACUGUAGAGGGGGGUAGAAUUUCAGGUGUAGCGGUGAAAUGCGUAGAGAUCUGAAGGAAUACCAGUGGCGAAGGCGGCCCCCUGGACAGAUACUGACACUCAGAUGCGAAAGCGUGGGGAGCAAACAGGAUUAGAUACCCUGGUAGUCCACGCCGUAAACGAUGUCUACUUGGAGGUUGUGGCCUUGAGCCGUGGCUUUCGGAGCUAACGCGUUAAGUAGACCGCCUGGGGAGUACGGUCGCAAGAUUAAAACUCAAAUGAAUUGACGGGGGCCCGCACAAGCGGUGGAGCAUGUGGUUUAAUUCGAUGCAACGCGAAGAACCUUACCUACUCUUGACAUCCAGAGAAGCCAGCGGAGACGCAGGUGUGCCUUCGGGAGCUCUGAGACAGGUGCUGCAUGGCUGUCGUCAGCUCGUGUUGUGAAAUGUUGGGUUAAGUCCCGCAACGAGCGCAACCCUUAUCCUUGUUUGCCAGCGAGUAAUGUCGGGAACUCCAGGGAGACUGCCGGUGAUAAACCGGAGGAAGGUGGGGACGACGUCAAGUCAUCAUGGCCCUUACGAGUAGGGCUACACACGUGCUACAAUGGCGCAUACAGAGGGCAGCGAACUUGCGAGAGUGAGCGAAUCCCAAAAAGUGCGUCGUAGUCCGGAUUGGAGUCUGCAACUCGACUCCAUGAAGUCGGAAUCGCUAGUAAUCGUAGAUCAGAAUGCUACGGUGAAUACGUUCCCGGGCCUUGUACACACCGCCCGUCACACCAUGGGAGUGGGCUGCAAAAGAAGUGGGUAGUUUAACCUUUCGGGGAAGACUCUCACCUUUUGGGGUUGAGAGGGGGAG